AAAAGCUCGUAGUUGGAUCUCAGCUCGGGCCGGACGGUCCGCCUACCGGUGGUUACUGUUCGCUGCCCAGCGUUCGGUCGGAUGUACCCGAUGAUCUUCACCGGUUGUCUCGUGCGUCCGGCAAGUUUACUUUGAAAAAAUUAGAGUGCUCAACGCAGGCGUGACGCCUGGAUAUUUGUGCAUGGAAUAAUGGAAUAGGACCUCGGUUCUAUUUUGUUGGUUUUCGGAACACGAGGUAAUGAUUAAGAGGGACAGACGGGGGCAUUCGUAUUGCGACGCUAGAGGUGAAAUUCUUGGACCGUCGCAAGACGAACUACUGCGAAAGCAUUUGCCAAGAAUGUUUCCAUUAAUCAAGAACGAAAGUUAGAUGUUCGAAGGCGAUCAGAUACCGCCCUAGUUCUAACCAUAAACGAUGCCAGCCAGCGAUCCGGCUGUGUUCCUCAAAUGACACGCCGGGCAGCUUCCGGGAAACCAAAGCUUUUGGGUUCCGGGGGAAGUAUGGUUGCAAAGCUGAAACUUAAAGGAAUUGACGGAAGGGCACCACCAGAAAUGGAGCCUGCGGCUUAAUUUGACUCAACACGGGAAAACUUACCCGGCCCGGACACAGGAAGGAUUGACAGAUUAAGAGCUCUUUCUUGAUUCUGUGGGUGGUGGUGCAUGGUCGUUCUUAGUCCGUUGGGUGACUUGUCUGGUUAAUUCCGAUAACGAACGAGACUCUAGCCUACUAAAUAGACGUUUCGGUCCUCUUUUGCCGGACGUUCUUCUUAGAGGGACAAGCGGCGUCUAGCCGCACGAGACAGAGCAAUAACAGGUCUGGGAUGCCCUUAGAUGUCCGGGGCCGCACGCGCGCUACAUUGAAGGAAUCAGCGUGUUCUCUCCCUGUCCGACAGGACUGGGUAACCCGUUGAACCUCCUUCGUGCUGGGGAUAGAAAAUUGUAAUUGUUUUUCUUGAACGAGGAAUUCCCAGUAAGCACGAGUCAUUAGCUCGUGUUGAUUACGUCCCUGCCCUUUGUCCACACCGCCCGUCGCUACUACUGAUUGAAUGAUUUAGUGAGGUCUUCGGAUUGGCGCUCGGAUUGGCCUUCGUGGUCGAGCCGACGUGCCGAAAAGACGAUCGAACUUGAUCAUUUAGAAGAGUAAAAGUCGUACAU
rnacentral:rRNA from 1 species